rnacentral:rRNA from 1 species
GACGAACCGUGCGAACGUUGUUCGGAAUCACUGGGCUUAAAGGGCGCGUAGGCGGCUUGCCAAGUCGGUGGUGAAAUCCUGCAGCUUAACUGUAGAAGUGCCUCCGAUACUGGCAGGCUCGAGUGAGGUAGGGGUCUGUGGAACUUCUGGUGGAGCGGUGAAAUGCGUUGAUAUCAGAAGGAACGCCGGUGGCGAAAGCGACGGACUGGACCUCUUCUGACGCUGAGGCGCGAAAGCCAGGGGAGCAAACGGG